AGAAAAUUUAACAAGGGGUUCAUUUUAAGUCGUAUUUGUGGUGAAAAAAAUUGAGUGACUUUUGUAAAAAGUCUUCUUUUUUAAGAAUUUUAGUAUCAAAGUUUGAAAGCAUCACCAUUAACCCCACUCCACUCAGAAUUGUUUUUCGUUGGCAAUGGUUACAAUGCGUUGGCAACGCAUGCAGAUAAACAUUAAAUUUCCUCUCUACCUUCCCAAUUUAUCAUCUAUAACAGUGGCCCACCCAUCGUGUAAAGUAUGUCUGUCCUAUUAUUUCUAUUACGGUUUUAAUGGCAUUAGUGGUAUGAACGGAUAUUAUUAAUUAUAAUAUAUCGUAGCGAUAUUUUUAUAAAUAUUUCAUAUUUUAAAAUAUAACGCAGUAUACCCGUGAUUUUUCACUGAAUACAAUGAAUGUUUCGAAGGUUUUUAUUUCUCAUGCAGUUUAAUUUUCCACGUCCUUUUGAGAUAGAAACAAAUUAACGAAAUUCGAUAAUUCAACAAACUCGUCAAGUGAAAAAAUUCGCAAUUGUUUGUAACAACUUAUAACCUAUACGAGAGACCGAAAAAAAAUACCUAAUUGAAAGAAGUACAUUAUUAACUUCCGUUCUCAAAAAAACAAAAUUAUACACAUAUUAUCCAUUUCGAUUUUCCGAGACUCGUGAAAGACUCCAAAAAUAAAAUUUCACUAGACUGGGUUCCUAUAAAAUAUUGCAAUUGCAUUUCAACGAAAAAUUAAAAUUGUUGUUGUUCUGGGACAAUGACUUCCAAAGAAAUAGUGGCCCAAAGUAUUUUUAUUUGUUCACAGGAUUAAAAAAGGUCAUAAUAUUUUUUUACUAUAUCCAC